UGGGGAAUAUUGCACAAUGGGCGCAAGCCUGAUGCAGCCAUGCCGCGUGUAUGAAGAAGGCCUUCGGGUUGUAAAGUACUUUCAGCGAGGAGGAAGGUGUUGUGGUUAAUAACCACAGCAAUUGACGUUACUCGCAGAAGAAGCACCGGCUAACUCCGUGCCAAGCAGCCGCGGUAAUACGGAGGGUGCAAGCGUUAAAUCGGAAUUACUGGGCGUAAAGCGCACGCAGGCGGUUUGUUAAGUCAGAUGUGAAAUCCCCGGGCUCAACCUGGGAACUGCAUUUGAAACUGGCAAGCUUGAGUCUCGUAGAGGGGGGUAGAAUUCCAGGUGUAGCGGUGAAAUGCGUUAGAGAUCUGGAGGAAUACCGGUGGCGAAGGCGGCCCCCUGGACGAAGACUGACGCUCAGGUGCGAAAAGCGUGGGAGCAAAACA
rnacentral:rRNA from 1 species